rnacentral:lncRNA from 1 species
CAAGUAACCAAUGGAAAUUUCAGAGGAAAUUUAAACCCCAGAAAAUUCUGUAACUGGGCUCUUGAGCCACUUGCUGGGGCCUGCUGCCGCCCUGUGGAGUGUGCUUUCGUUUUCAAUAAAUCUCUGCUUUCGUUCCUUCAUGCUUUCCUUGCUUUGUGUGUUCAUUUUGUCCAAAUCUUUGUUCAAGACGCCAAGAACCUGGACACCCUCCACCGGUAACAUAUUUUGGCGAGCCAGACAAGAGUAGUAUGAUGCCUCUGGCUUCCCUCUAUCACACGUCUUCUUUUCGAGUAAAGGUUUUUCAUAAAUGUGAGCGUGGAAGAAGAAACCAGUUAAAUAUGGAACUUCACACCAGGACACAAAAGGACUUCAAACUUUUAGAUUCCACAAGUAUGUGAAAAGAUGCAGUAUUUGUCUUUCUGUGCAUGGUUUACUUCACUUAUCAUCAUGUCCCUCAGGUUCAUCCACGUUGUUGCAAAUGACAGGAUUUCAUUCAUUUUUAAGACUGAAUAGUACUCCAUUAUGCAAAUAUACCAGAUUUUCAUUGUCUAUUCGUUCACUGAUGAACACGGGUUAAUCCUAUAUGUUGGCUAUUGUGAAUAAAGCUGCAAUGAAUAUGAGAGUACAGAUAUAUUCUUGACAUAUUAAUUUUAUUUUAUUUGGCAAUAUACCCAAUAGUAGCUAGAUCAUAUCAGAGUUCUAUUUUUAAUUUUUGAGGAAACUUCAUACUGUUUUUCAUAAUAGUUAUUACUAAUUUACACUCAGUAUACAAGAGUUCCCUUUUCUCCACAUUCUUUCCAAAAUUUGUUUCCUUUUCCCUUUUUGAUAACAGCUACUCUAACUGGGGUGAAAUAAUAUCUCACUGUGGUUUUAAUUUUCAUUUAUCUGAUUAAUGAUUUUGAGCUUUUUAAAAUAAAUACUUGUUGGCAAUUUGUAUGUCAUCUUUUGAGAAGUGUCUAUUAAAAUUUGUUUGCCUAUUU